UAAAUUAGCCUAAAUAUCCUCAUUACAUCAGAUCUUAUCUGAUCUCAGAAGUUUAGCAGGGUCAGGUCUGGUUAGUAUCUGGAAGAGGCACUGCCAGACAAUUCCAGGUAAGCUGUGUUUC
rfam:Anolis carolinensis unplaced genomic scaffold chrTn0021, whole genome shotgun sequence.